UUAAAUUGAAGAGUUUGAUCAUGGCUCAGAUUGAACGCUGGCGGCAGGCCUAACACAUGCAAGUCGAGCGGAAACGAGUUGUCAGAACCUUCGGGGAACGAUAACGGCGUCGAGCGGCGGACGGGUGAGUAAUGCCUAGGAAAUUGCCCUGAUGUGGGGGAUAACCAUUGGAAACG
rnacentral:rRNA from 1 species